rnacentral:rRNA from 1 species
CACGUAGGCACCAAGCGUUAUCCGGAUUUAUUGGGCGUAAAGAGCUCGUAGGCGGUUCGGUAAGUCGGGUGUGAAAACUCUGGGCUCAACCCAGAGAGGCCACCCGAUACUGCUGUGACUAGAGUGCGGUAGGGGGAGCGGGGAAUUCCUGGUGUAGCGGUGAAAUGCGCAGAUAUCAGGAGGAACACCAGCGGCGAAGGCGCCGCUCUGGGCCGUAACUGACGCUGAGGAGCGAAAGCAUGGGUAGCAAACAGG